GCUGGGCGUGGUGGUGCACGCCUGUAAUCCCAGCUACUCGGGAGGCUGAGGCAGGAGAAUUGCUUGAACCUGGGAGGUGGAGGUGCAGUGAGUCGAGAUCGCGCCACUGCACUCCAGCCUGGGUGACUGAGUGAGACUCUGUCUCAA
ensembl:misc_RNA Metazoa_SRP Metazoan signal recognition particle RNA